UACAGAGGUGGCAAGCGUUGUUCGGAAUUACUGGGCGUAAAGGGCGCGUAGGCGGUUUCGUAAGUCCCGUGUGAAAGCCCCCGGCUCAACUGGGGAAUUGCACGGGAAACUGCGAGGCUCGAGUCCGGAAGAGGCGAGUGGAAUUCCUGGUGUAGCGGUGAAAUGCGCAGAUAUCAGGAGGAACACCGAUGGCGAAGGCAGCUCGCUGGGCCGGUACUGACGCUGAGGAGCGAAAGCAUGGGGAGCGAACAGG
rnacentral:rRNA from 1 species